GCCGAGCCCAGAUACCUCCACUCCAGACUCGGGUCGAUCUCAGUCUCCAGGCUUGGCGAGUUUGCGAAGCCAAGCAGUGCCGGAGGCAGACAGUCGCCAGAGGAAGGCGUGCGUGCGGAGACCUGGGACACAGGCAAGCUUUGGAAGCUGCCGGUCGAUUGCCCAGGAUCUGCAGUGGAAGAAACUCGUGGGUGCUACUAAACCUGCCCGGCUUCAUAGUCACUCAACACCUUCUGCUUUAAAAAGUGUGAAGUAUUUGAAUUGAGAACCUCUCUCCCUUCCGAAAGGGAGAUCGUCUCUGCAACACAUCGGGGAUCUUUGUUUUGGCCCAGUCUGCAUCUGGCUUGGAUGCUUGUCUAGGCGGACCUGAGUGACCGCUUGAAAGCUGCGGCCCGGAGACCUCCCUCCCGCGGGGCCGGGCCGCUGUUCUCCCCGCCCAGCAAUCGCACCGGUGGCCCCUGAGCAGGACGCAAGACGGUUCCUUCCCUCCAGCACUUUAAAAGCAGAUAUCUCCUCCUGGCUGAUUUCAGCGCUUCUCAAGUCCUGAAGUUCCUCGAGAUCCACUGAAGGGUGCGGGAUUAGCGCUGGUUAGAUGGACAAACACCUGCACCUGGUCUAGAUGAUGAACCCGGAGAUUUCAAAAGGGAAUUCCCAGUCUGGCCCGUUGUGGGCUUUGGGAGAUCUUUGCAACACAAGAACGGUUCUGGUCUUUUUCCGGAGUCGAGAAAGGAGUGGGAGCUAAGAGGCGGAGUGCUGUGCUCCUCAACCUUUUAAGCCUAUUUGAUGCCCACGUUUCCGAGUUUCUUACUCGCAGUCACAUCGGGCUUUCAUCCCGACAGGCGGCAUGCGCCUCCCCUGUCUGGUGGACUAACAAGCCCAAGUCUUCUUAGUCGCUCUCAAAGGACCUGGCAGCUCUAAGCCACUCUGAGCUUCCCCCCCGCCCCAAAAAGAGAGCUCUAGCCCAAAAAGCUGUGGGGCGAGGCAGGGCAGAGGCAAUGGUGCAGUGAAGGCUCACAGUAUAGGAGCUGCAAUAUUUCUAUGUGCCUCUCCUUGCCAGGUCCCUUGAAUACUUCAGACAAUGAGCAAUUUCUUGCUAUUUCUUUGAGGCAGGACUGUCUGUUGCUUAAAAGCAAAGCAAGCUGACCCCCUCCAAGUGACACGUCAGAAACUAAUGGCAAAUCUUUAUCUCGGGAAUUGUCUACAGGGAAACUUGCAACGGUACAACUCGAACGGGCUUUUAAACAGAUCCAAUUAAAGCGCUGCCCUGGGCUGUGGGACACUUAUUUUAAUGUAAGUGGCUGAUUUGGCAAUAGCACCAGUACUGACAGUCUGAUCCAAAGCUUAAUAGAGUCACAGAACGAUUCCAAUUGAUACUAAUGGGCUCUUGAAUAUGCCCACGGCCAAUAAGAGUGCCUUUGCACUUAAUUAGAUUGUUCUUUCUACAAAACAGUCUCUCUGAUAAUUAGUUUUAGCGGGAUCUCUGAUAUAGAUCCUGAUCCAGCAGAUAGUGCAAGCACCUGCGUAGCCUCUUUAAAGUGGAACUACCCUUUAAAUGCUAAAGUUUUACUAGAUUGGGACCAGACUACAGAGUUUGAAUCUGAUGCCAGCAGAAGCACAGCUCUCUCAGCCAGAUGAGCGUGCUGAUGUCACAACAUACAGCAAGAGCGUCUUUCAUUCAAGCUCCUGUCACAAGUGAUUUGAAGAAACACAGAAGCUAGUACAUUUGCAUAAUUUUGAAUAUUUUGAAGUUAUGCAGGGAAGUUGUAAAGGUUAUUGUCAUGAAAAAAAUCAGAUACUGUAUUGAUGUGCAUCAGAGGAGUUCCUGAGGAAAUGGGAAGUUUUUUCUUCAGAGCAGCGUUUGAAGAGUACAAUAAAGAAUGGGACCAUGCAGUAAAAAAAAUGGAGAAAACAAAAACCUGAAGAAAUGCUUGAGUGAGCAACAUCCACCCUGUGCAUUGAAUGAGACAAGGGUCUUGCUAUAUUCCUCCCCCCACCACACACAAGAGGACAAAUGAUAACCAUCCUCCUACUUUUGUAAUCGCACCCCCUGCCAGUCAGUCCUUCCCACCACACAGCUCUGAUUCCUGAACAGCUUUGCAUGUAACCUGAAU